ACGCUGUUUGAAAGGAGAGGUUAGCACUCCCCUUGAGAAGGAUAGAGUAGGUCCUAGCAGCCUUUACAACUUAUAUUUAUAUUUGUUAUACUGUAUUCUUCCAAGUGCUUGGUAGAGUGCUCUGC
rfam:Ornithorhynchus anatinus chromosome X5, whole genome shotgun sequence.